rnacentral:lncRNA from 1 species
GUUGCAUGGUACCAUCCUUCUUCUUCACAAAUAGUACUGGAGCUCCCCAUGGUGAUACACUUGGUCUGAUGAAAUCCUUAUCCAAUAAUUCAUGCAAUUGUUUCUUGAGUUCCUCUAAUUUGGCUUACACCAUUCGAUAUGGAGCCUUAGAGAUAGGACUCAUACUAGGAAUUAAAUCAAUAAAGAACUCGAUCUCCUAGUUUGCAGGUAAACCU